AUUGAACGCUGGCGGCAUGCCUUACACAUGCAAGUCGAACGGCAGCACGGGUGCUUGCACCUGGUGGCGAGUGGCGAACGGGUGAGUAGUACAUCGGAACAUGUCCUGUAGUGGGGGAUAGCCCGGCGAAAGCCGGAUUAAUACCGCAUACGAUCUACGGAUGAAAGCGGGGGACCUUCGGGCCUCGCGCUAUAGGGUUGGCCGAUGGCUGAUUAGCUAGUUGGUGGGGUAAAGGCCUACCAAGGCGACGAUCAGUAGCUGGUCUGAGAGGACGACCAGCCACACUGGGACUGAGACACGGCCCAGACUCCUACGGGAGGCAGCAGUGGGGAAUUUUGGACAUUGGGCGAAAGCCUGAUCCAGCAAUGCCGCGUGUGUGAAGAAGGCCUUCGGGUUGUAAAGCACUUUUGUCCGGAAAGAAAUCCUUGGCCCUAAUACGGUCGGGGGAUGACGGUACCGGAAGAAUAAGCACCGGCUAACUACGUG
rnacentral:rRNA from 1 species